rnacentral:rRNA from 1 species
UACAGAGGGGGCAAGCGUUGUUCGGAAUUACUGGGCGUAAAGGGCGCGUAGGCGGCCUGCUAAGUCGAACGUGAAAUCCCUGGGCUCAACCCAGGAACUGCGUCCGAUACUGGUUGGCUUGAAUCCGGGAGAGGGACGUGGAAUUCCAGGUGUAGCGGUGAAAUGCGUAGAUAUCGUAAGGAAGACCAGUGGCGAAGGCGAGUCUCUGGACAGUUACCGACGCUGAGGCACGAAGGCCAGGGGAGCAAACGGG